rnacentral:rRNA from 1 species
GAUAGCUUAACCUUCGGGAGGGCGUUUACCACGGUGUGAUUCAUGACUGGGGUGAAGUCGUAACAAGGUAACCCUAGGGGAACCUGGGGUUGGAUCACCUCCUUA